GGAGGGGACAGCUCAGUGGUAGAGUGCCUGCCUGCUCAGCAUGCACAAGGUCCUGGGUUCAAUUCCCAGGACCUCCA
rnacentral:tRNA from 1 species